rnacentral:lncRNA from 1 species
CCGCGCACCCCUGUCCGGUCCAGCCCGUGCAGCGCGAGGCCGGCUCUAGGGGAGCUGGGCCUGGGAGCCAGGCUCCUGCAGCACCUGGACCCUCGGACAGGAAGCGGCUCCUCUGACUGUGGCUCCUGAAAGGAGGCGAGCCCGGCAAAAAGAGCCAGCGGGGAGGGCAGCAGGCGACUGCGUGUAGAAGCGGGGGGCAGAUGUGGGAAGGUGUGCACGGGAAGGGGUGGGAGUAGUCCGGAGCUGCGCCUCCGCCGACAGAAGAUGCUCCGGGCCAGCAGCCAGAGAAACGCCGCGGGUCACAGAGGGUGGAGGGCUUCAGGGAGCAGAGGAAGCCCAACAGCUGCAGCCGAGCGUCCAAAAAAAGAACACAGGGCUUCUACUCCAGGGUUUCCUCGCCAGGGAACCCCAAACACACAGGACCUGGAGAAGCCGGGUGGAGCUGGCUUCUGGCCCUGCGCUUGGGUGGUCGGCUGCCUUAAGAAGAACUGCACCCCAGAGACAGUCUCGCAGCUGCCGACCUUAUCCACUCGCCCUUUCUGCCGGAGCCCAGGCCCAGUGCUCCAGCAAGGAGGCUGAGAAAAUGCUGAAGACUGAUGCCCACGGGGGACAGCUUGGGCUAAGGAUAACGUUUGCAAAACAAACCUUUAAAAACCCAUAGCAACCUGUUUCCUAGAGCACACUCUUCAUCUCUCCACCCCCAAACUAGUCCCGACUCGGAUCCUCCUUUUCCUAUCCUCUUCCUCUUGCUCUCCCGUCUCCUAUUCACUUUUCCUCUCCUUUCCUCUUGAUUAUUAUAAACAAAUGCUUUCCAAGUCUUACCGCCAUCAUAUGUGUACAUAUGCAACCCUUACUGUUACCAAUUUGUUGAAGUCAAGACAGGAGGAGGCAAAGUUUAAAAAUCCGAAGCAUUGCAGGAAAUAAAAAUGGAGUGAGUGUUGCCUGGGUAUCAUAAAUUUUUUUUUUUUUAACAGUUCCUCUACUUGGCUCUCCUCCAAAGGUACGCGGCCACAGCAGGCAGGGGCUUGGCAGUGUGGGAGGAGACACCACAGAAGACAGGGAAGAACUACCAGGCCUUGGUUCAUCUCCACACUGGCGAGAGAGGAUGUGCAGAUGAUGAAGCUGGCCAGGCGCCG